rnacentral:rRNA from 1 species
GACGAACCGUGCGAACGUUGUUCGGAAUCACUGGGCAUAAAGGGCGCGUAGGCGGCUCUCAAAGUCAGGGGUGAAAUCCGGCAGCUUAACUGUCGAAGUGCCUUUGAUACUGGGGAGCUCGAGGGAGGUAGGGGUGUGUGGAACUUCCGGUGGAGCGGUGAAAUGCGUAGAUAUCACUCGGAAGGCCAACGGCGAAGGCAGGUUACUGGUACGCAACUGACGCUGAGGCACGAAAGCGUGGGGAGCAAACAGG